rnacentral:rRNA from 1 species
UGCGUAGGGGGCAAGCGUUGUCCGGAAUCAUUGGGCGUAAAGCGCGUGUAGGCGGUUCGGUAAGUCUGCUGUGAAAGUCCAGGGCUCAACCCUGGGAUGCCGGUGGAUACUGUCGGGCUAGAGUGCGGAAGAGGCGAGUGGAAUUCCCGGUGUAGCGGUGAAAUGCGCAGAUAUCGGGAGGAACACCAAUUGCGAAGGCAGCUCGCUGGGACGUAACUGACGCUGAGACGCGAAAGCGUGGGGAGCAAACAGG